ACGCACGCUGGCGGCGUGCCUAAUACAUGCAAGUUGAGCGCUGAAGGUUGGUACUUGUACCAACUGGAUGAGCAGCGAACGGGUGAGUAACGCGUGGGGAAUCUGCCUUUGAGCGGGGGACAACAUUUGGAAACGAAUGCUAAUACCGCAUAAAAACUUUAAACACAAGUUUUAAGUUUGAAAGAUGCAAUUGCAUCACUCAAAGAUGAUCCCGCGUUGUAUUAGCUAGUUGGUGAGGUAAAGGCUCACCAAGGCGAUGAUACAUAGCCGACCUGAGAGGGUGAUCGGCCACAUUGGGACUGAGACACGGCCCAAACUCCUGCGGGAGGCAGCAGUAGGGAAUCUUCGGCAAUGGACGAAAGUCUGACCGAGCAACGCCGCGUGAGUGAAGAAGGUUUUCGGAUCGUAAAACUCUGUUGGUAGAGAAGAACGUUGGUGAGAGUGGAAAGCUCAUCAAGUGACGGUAACUACCCAGAAAGGGACGGCUAACUACGUG
rnacentral:rRNA from 1 species